rnacentral:rRNA from 1 species
GAUGAACGCUGGCGGCGUGCCUAAUACAUGCAAGUCGAACGCUGAAGCAAGGAGCUUGCUCUUUCCGGAUGAGUUGCGAACGGGUGAGUAACGCGUAGGUAACCUGCCUGGUAGCGGGGGAUAACUAUUGGAAACGAUAGCUAAUACCGCAUAACAGUAUGUGUCGCAUGAUAUCUACUUAAAAGGCGCAAUUGCACCACUACCUGACGGACUUGCGGUUGCUUAGCUAGGUGGUGAGGUAACGGCGCACCAAGGCGACGUAACAUCGCCGAACUGAGAGGGUGGUCGGCCACACUGGGACUGAGACAAGGCCCAGACGGCCUCGGGAAGGAGCAAGAGGGGAACUUCGGGAAUGGGCGGAAAUCUGACCGAACAACGCCGCGGGAGUGAAGAAGGGUGUCGGGUCGUGAAGCUCGGUUGUCAGGGAAGAAAGAGUGUUAGAGUGGAAAGUUCACACUGUGACGGUAUCUUAUCAGAAAGGGACGGCUAACUACGUG